rnacentral:rRNA from 1 species
CCUACGGGCGGCAGCAGUGAGGAAUAUUGGUCAAUGGGCGCGAGCCUGAACCAGCCAAGUCGCGUGAGGGAAGACGGUCCUAUGGAUUGUAAACCUCUUUUGUCGGGGAGCAAAAGACGCCACGCGUGGCGUUCCGAGAGUACCCGAAGAAAAAGCAUCGGCUAACUCCGUGCCAGCAGCCGCGGUAAUACGGAGGAUGCGAGCGUUAUCCGGUUUUAUUGGGUUUGAAGGGUGCGCAGGCGGAAGAUCAAGUCAGCGGUAAAAUUGAGGGGCUAAACCUCUUCGGGCCGUUGAAACUGGUUGUCUUGAGUGAGCGAGAGGUAUGCGGAAUGCGUGGUGUAGCGGUGAAAUGCAUAGAUAUCACGCAGAACUCCGAUUGCGAAGGCAGCAUACCGGCGCUCAACUGACGCUCAUGCACGAAAGUGUGGGGAUCGAACAGGAUUAGAUACCCCUGUAGUC